UACGAAGGGGGGCUAGCGUUGUUCGGAAUUACUGGGCGUAAAGCGCACGUAGGCGGAUACUUAAGUUAGGGGUGAAAUCCCGGGGCUCAACCCCGGAACUGCCUUUGGUACUGGGGUAUCUGGAGUCCGAGAGAGGUGAGUGGAAUUCCGAGUGUAGAGGUGAAAUUCGUAGAUAUUCGGAGGAACACCAGUGGCGAAGGCGGCUCACUGGCUCGGUACUGACGCUGAGGUGCGAAAGCGUGGGGGAGCAAACAGG
rnacentral:rRNA from 1 species